UCGGCCUGAGCAGGGCUGGCCAAGUGACAGGAAGGUGGCCUGGACAUGUGUGCCCCUAGCUCUGCAUCCAUGGAGGCAGCCACCUCAUCUUCAUCCUGCGCAUAGCCAGCUCAUUAACAACCAGCUUUUGACAUUUGAUGAGCUGUUUUUCUGAGAAGUGAGUUUUUAUAAUUGUUUUAGUUCUUCUGAGCUGUAUGCUGAGAUUGCUUUAAAAAAUAUUUAAAAGGCUUGAUUCCUUUGAAGGAGGUAGGGAUGGAGCUGAAUAGGGUGUUUAUUUAGUGGACCUUGAAUUUCAUCUUCAAAUAUAAAGAGCUGCUUCCCUUUCCAAAGUAAGAAAAGAAGAAUGUGAAGUCAAAUCCCUUAAGUUACGUGUGGAGACACUUUCCCAUUUAUUUGGGAGUGUAGUUUCUAAUUUUGAUUUUUUUUCAGAAGUUUUAACAAAUUGAAGGGAAGAUUCACCCCACUGCAAUGAUGCUCACCAGCGCUGUUAAUUUACUGCAAACUCUGUCUGCUGGAGCCCAUGCUGAAGUCAUGCAGAGUGAAGACACCAAGACUGCGUGGACUGCUGCGCAUGUUGGUGGAGAGGGCAAGGAUGGACAAGACAUACUUCUUAGCCUUGGCCUGGGAAUUUAGGACACAGAUUAAAUAUGAAUGAGCUCAUGGAGGAUGUUUAAAACGUGAGAUUUCAAACCAGUAGGAAGUUUCCUCACAGAGAACUGCUGUUGGAAUUGUGAGUUGUCUCCCUACUGCACAGGAAGGGAUGAAGAAACUAACCUAGAAAUGAAUUCAGCUUAAUUUUAAGUGUAAGAAGCAGGCAGCACCCUGGACUCCGCUCCCCAAGCUUGCUGUCUGUCUGUGCUAGGCCCUGUGGGAGGGCUAGUUUCCUGAUUCUGAGGACCCAGAGGUGGGGGGCUUCAUGGCGGUCCUGGCCGUGGGCAGAGGCAUUGACAGUCGGUUGCACCUGGAAGGACAAGUCAUGCGCAAGGAGUUUGGAGAAGGCACUGUGACUCCCAUCACCCCGAAGGGCAGGAUCACCAUGCAGCUCCGUGACAUGUGCGCCUGUCAUGUGUACCCCCUGAACCAAC